UCCGAAUUGGUGUAGUGGCUAACAUUUGACGCUCUCACUUUCUUCUCGAUUCUCGAGGAGUUUCUGGCCCGUCAAGCCCGGGGUUCGAUUCCCCGAUUCGGAG